UUUUACAUGAACACAACUAUAUCGAGAGCAGAGAUUCCGAAUCUUCAAAAAAAUCUGCAUUUCAAAAUUUAUGUUCACCGCCCCAUAAAUAUCUU